rnacentral:lncRNA from 1 species
GAGUCUUGCUCUGUCGCCCACUGUAACCUCCGCCUCCCAGGUUCAAGUGAUUCUUCUGCCUCAGCCUCCCGAGUAGCUGGGACUACAGGCCUAUGCCACCACACCCGGCUAAUUUUUGUAUUUUUAGUAGAGACGGGGUGUCACCAUAUUGGCCAGGCUGGUCUUGAACUCCUGACCUCUGCCCUUGUGAUCUCCUCGUGAUCUCCACGUGAACUCCUCGUGAUCUGCCCAUCUCGGCCUUCCAAAGUGCUAGGAUUACAGGUGUGAGCCACCGUGCCCAGCCCUGCCUCAUUUCUUCACACCCCGUUGGUGUUUCCUGGGAUCAUCUCCAAAAUAAUCUACCUGCAUGCAUUAAACUCCUUAUCUCAGAGUUUGCUUUUGGGAGAACUCAAAUGAUGAUGCUAUGGGAUGAGUGUCAUCAUCAAAGAUGAGUUUGUGAAAUGGUUCUGGUUUGCCUGGGACUGAGGGACUCCUGGAUUGUGGGACUUUUGGUACUAAACCUGGGAAAGUCCCGGGUAAACCAGAAUGAAUUGACUAUCCUUAUAGGAGGAUAGUGUGGCAUCAGGGAAGCCAAGAGAAGAGAAUGCUUCAAGAAGAAAAAAAAUGAUCAACAGAGUCAAAUGUUGACCCAGCGGUCAAGUUUGGUAAGACUGAGAAACAACCAGUGGACUUUGCACCGAGGAAGCAUUUGGGACAUUGGUUCAUCCUUUGGUGUGUUGCAAGCAGAAGUUAGAUUGCAGUGGUUGAACAGUGAGGAGGUUGGAGCAAGUGAAGACAACACAGUGGAAACAAGCUUUUUUCUAGAAUUUUUUUUUUUUUUUUUUUGAGAUGGAAUUUCGCUCUUGUUGCCCAGUCUGGAGUGCAGUGGCGCAAUCUCGGCUCACCGCAACCUCCAUCUCCCGGGUUCAAGUGAUUCUCCUGCCUCAGCCUCCUGAGUAGCUGGGGAUUACAGACAUGCGCCACCACGCCUGGCUAAUUUCGUAUUUUUAGUAGAGAGGGUGUUUCUCCAUGUUGGUCAGGCUGGUCUCGAACUCCUGACCUCAGGUGAACCACCCGCCUUGGCCUCCCAAAGUGCUGGGAUUAUAGGUGUGAGCCACCACACCCCACCUUUUUUUCUAGAAUUUUGGCUGUGAAGAGGAGGAGAGAUAGAGUGGCUAUUGCAGAGGGAAAGCAGAUUAAGGGGAGACUUUUUGGAUAGAAGGGGCCUGAACAUGUGUCCUCUCUUUUCCUUCCUUCUUUUCUUUUCUCUUUUCUUUUCUUUUUUCUUUCUUCCUUCCUUCCUUUCUUUUUCGUUCUUUCUCUUUCUCUCUCUCUUCCUCUCUCUCUUCCCCUUGCUUCCCUCCCUCCCUCCCUCCCUUUCUUUCUUUCUUUCUUUCUUUCUUUCUUUCUUCCUUUCUUUCUUUCUUUCUUUCUUUUCUUUCUCUCUUUCUUGAUGGAGUCUUACUCUGUCACCCAAACUAGAGUGCAAUGGCAUGAUAUUGACUCACUGCAACCUCUGCCUCCUGGGUUCAAGUGAUUCUCCUGCCUCAGCCUCCCAAGUAGCUGGGAUUACAGGCCCCUGCCACCACGCCUGGCUAAUAUUUGCAUUUUUAGUAGAGAUGGGGUUUCACCACAUUGGAUAGGCUGGUCUCGAACUCCUGACCUCAGGUGAUCCACCUGCCUCGGCCUCCCAAAAUGCUAGGAUUACAGGCGUGAGCCACUGCACCCGGCCAUGUCCUCUCUUUUCUUCCAAAAUUCCUAUUAUUCUCAUAUUAAACACCCCAGUCUUCCUUUUAUUCUUCCAAGAUUUUAAUCUUUUGGCCUUUUUUCCUCAGUGCUUUGAGCUAUUUCUCCUGUGUGGUCUUCUAAGCCUCAAAUUUGGCUUUUGAGAGUGAUGACUUAAAAAAAAAAUCACCCAGCAUCAAUAGCAGACAGGUGCUAAAGAAAAAUAAAAAUCAUCCAGUAAAAUAUCUUCUUAAAUGUAUUCCUUUUUUAUUAAGUUCCAUAGAACUAGAACUUUUGGGCAUGCACUUGAAUCUUCUUACAUUCUUUAAUUUUUUUAUUUUUUGCAAAAUAAACUUUUAUUUGGAGGGACAGCAUAAUUUAGAGUCCAGGCUCUUUUACACUUUAAACAUUUAUUUAUUUAUUUGUUUUAUAUAGACAAAAAUAUAUAUAUUUAUCAUGUACAACAGGAUGUUUUGAAAUAUAUCUACAUCGUGGAAUGACUAAGUCAAGCUAAUUAAUAUACGAUUACCUCAUAUAACUUUUUUUUCUUUUUUUUGUGGUGAGAACACUUAAAAUCUCUCAUCAGGCGCGAUGGCUUGUGUCUGUAAUCCCAGCACUUUGGGAGGCCCCGGCAGGUGGAUCGCUGCUUGAGGUCAGGAGUUUGAGAUCAGCCUGGCCAACAUGGUGAAACCUUGUCUCCACUAAAAAUACAAAAUUAGCUGGGCAUGGUGGCAUGUGCUUGUAGUCCCAGCUAUCGGGAGGCUAAGGCAGGAGAAUUGCUUGAACCCAGGAGGUAGAGGUUGCAGUGAGCCUAGAUCUCACCACUGCACUCCAGCCUGGGUGACAGAGUGAGACUCAGUCUCAGAAGAAAAUAAGUUAGCCUGGGCCGGGCACGGUGGCUCAUGCCUGUAAUCCCAGCACUCUGGGAGGCCAAGUCAGGUGGAUCACCUGAGGCUGGGAGUUCGA